rnacentral:rRNA from 1 species
GAGGAAUAUUGCGCAAUGGGCGAAAGCCUGACGCAGCGACGCCGCGUGGAGGACGAAGGUCUUCGGAUCGUAAACUCCUGUCGAGCGGGACGAAGCCGGGACGGUGAACAGCCGUUUCGGUUGACGGUACCGCUAAAGGAAGCCCCGGCUAACUCCGUGCCAGCAGCCGCGGUAAUACGGAGGGGGCAAGCGUUGUUCGGAAUUACUGGGCGUAAAGGGCGCGUAGGCGGCCUGCUAAGUCGAACGUGAAAUCCCCGGGCUCAACCCGGGAACUGCGUCCGAUACUGGUGGGCUUGAAUUCGGGAGAGGGAUGCGGAAUUCCAGGUGUAGCGGUGAAAUGCGUAGAUAUCUGGAGGAACACCGGUGGCGAAGGCGGCAUCCUGGACCGAUAUUGACGCUGAGGCGCGAAAGCCAGGGGAGCAAAC